UAAAAUUGGGAUUAUUUCACAGAAAAAUAAUUCAAGAUGAAAUUCUUUAUUAUGCUUGCCGCCAUUGUGGCUGUUGCCCUCGCUCGCCCAGGCACAAGCACCUGGACUCUGCAGGAGCUUACUGAUGCUUUACAGAACCCUAACGUCAAUCCCGCAGUUGUGCCCUUCUUGGAACAUGCUCUAAAUGAAUUAAUGAGUGCUCUUCACAAUGGACACGAAUUUGAAAGCAUCCACGUACCCCUGCCAGCUGACAUCGCUAUCAUAGCCGAGCCUGUCAUUCCUUCCCCCGUCGACAUUCCUGCUGUAUCAAGCCCUCUCGUGCAGCUCAUCAUCAACGUGAAGAGUCCAUAGCAGGUGACUGAUGUCGGUACCGCUCCCCCGGCUAACGUUCCCGGACCAGACUUCAACCCUAUCGACGUCAUCGC